rnacentral:rRNA from 1 species
UACGUAGGGUGCGAGCGUUAAUCGGAAUUACUGGGCGUAAAGCGUGCGCAGGCGGUUUGUUAAGACAGGUGUGAAAUCCCCGGGCUUAACCUGGGAAUGGCGCUUGUUACUGGCAGGCUAGAGUGUGUCAGAGGGAGGUAGAAUUCCACGUGUAGCAGUGAAAUGCGUAGAGAUGUGGAGGAAUACCGAUGGCGAAGGCAGCCUCCUGGGAUAACACUGACGCUCAUGCACGAAAGCGUGGGGAGCAAACAGG